AGCGAACGCUGGCGGCAGGCUUAACACAUGCAAGUCGAACGCCCCGCAAGGGGAGUGGCAGACGGGUGAGUAACACGUGGGGAUCUGCCCAAUGGUACGGAAUAACUCAGGGAAACUUGUGCUAAUACCGUAUGUGCCCGCAAGGGGAAAGAUUUAUCGCCAUUGGAUGAACCCGCGUCGGAUUAGCUAGUUGGUGUGGUAAAGGCGCACCAAGGCGACGAUCCGUAGCUGGUCUGAGAGGAUGAUCAGCCACACUGGGACUGAGACACGGCCCAGACUCCUACGGGUGGCAGCAGUGGGGAAUAUGGGACAAUGGGCGCAAGCCUGAUCCAGCCGUGCCGCGUGAGUGAUGAAGGCCUUAGGGUUGUAAAGCUCUUUCGCCGACGAAGAUAAUGACGGUAGUCGGAGAAGAAGCCCCGGCUAACUUCGUGCCAGCCGCUGCCGUAACAC
rnacentral:rRNA from 1 species